UAUUGUAUUUUUUUCAGGUGACGAUGCAACUGACCCUACAAACUUGACUGAGAUGGAAAUUGAGGAUGACAACACAGACUUCGCCCUUCGUUUCUCAAGUAGAAGUUCAGGAGAAGGUGCUGGCUAUUUUCUCAUCGCUGCAGAGGAAUCAAGAACAUUAGAGCAGAUUGACUGGCCGUGCAAGUCAAAUCUGAUGACAAUCUGAAUCAUGCCCAGGUUCACUUCGGGACAAACGGGCCAAU